CCCCCUUCAGGGUCGCACCUGGGGAGUUUCCAAUACUCUAUCAGUCUUGACUACGAGAGGGAGAGUCAAGCAGAGGCCUAUUCAUUCCAUUUCUAGCUUGGUCAGUGGUUAGCGAGUGGAAGGCCAUCUGCUACAAGU